UUAACUAUUAUAUAGUACUCAGACGACACUAAAAUUCAGGGUUUGAGGGUCCUCUGGCGGGCGCUUACCAACCGGAGCCGGUAGCCUAGCAGGAGCCGGGCGGCCCGCCAAAGCAACAAAGUAGUGACAACACAGGGUGGGAGAUCUACCCAUAAGGGCAUGAACUCUGUAAUGAUCCCUCCGCAGGUUCACCUACGGAGA
rnacentral:misc_RNA from 1 species